GACGAACGCUGGCGGCGUGCUUAACACAUGCAAGUCGAACGGAAAGGCCCUGCUUUUGUGGGGUGCUCGAGUGGCGAACGGGUGAGUAACACGUGAGUAACCUGCCCUUGACUUUGGGAUAACAUCAGGAAGCUGGGGCUAAUACCGGAUAGGAGCUCCUGCUGCAUGGUGGGGGUUGGAAAGUUUCGGCGGUUGGGGAUGGACUCGCGGCUUAUCAGCUUGUUGGUGGGGUAGUGGCUUACCAAGGCUUUGACGGGUAGCCGGCCUGAGAGGGUGACCGGCCACAUUGGGACUGAGAUACGGCCCAGACUCCUACGGGAGGCAGCAGUGGGGAAUAUUGCACAAUGGGCGGAAGCCUGAUGCAGCAACGCCGCGUGCGGGAUGACGGCCUUCGGGUUGUAAACCGCUUUCGCCUGUGACGAAGCGUGAGUGACGGUAAUGGGUAAAGAAGCACCGGCUAACUACGUG
rnacentral:rRNA from 1 species